AUGCCUUAAACUGAUGAGUAAGGAAAAUAACGAUGUGGGGUGAUGCCCAUGUCCUCGUUUACUGAGAAGAAUUUUUGAAAGGGUACAGGUCUGUCUGCUGAGGUGACUCGUCUACUUUACGAGAUGCCUUGUGGAGCUUGGAUCUGCCCC